rnacentral:rRNA from 1 species
GGAUGCGAUCAUACCAGCACUAAAGCAUAGGAUUCUAUCAGAACUCCGCAGUUAAGUGUGUUUGGGCAAAAAUAGUAUUAGAAUGGGUGAUCCCUUGAAAAAUCCUCAUGUUGCAUCUU